AUUUAACGCUGGCGGCAGGCCUAACACAUGCAAGUCGAGCGAGCGGCGGACGGGUGAGUAAUGUCUGGGAAACUGCCUGAUGGAGGGGGAUAACUACUGGAAACGGUAGCUAAUCCCGCAUACCAUCAGAUGUGCCCAGCGGGGCUUAGCUAGUAGGUGGGGUAACGGCUCACCUUGGCGACGCUCCCUAGCUGGUCUGAGAGGAUGACCAACCACACGGGAACUGAGACACGGUCAAGACUCCUACGGGAGGCAGCAGUGGGGAAUAUUGCACAAUGGGCGCAAGCCUGAUGCAGCCAGGCCGCGUGGGUGAAGAAGGCCUUCGGGUUGUAAAGCACUUUCAGCGGGGAGGCGUUACCCGCAGAAGAAGCACCGGCUAACUCCGUGCCAGCAGCCGCGGUAAUUC
rnacentral:rRNA from 1 species